GACGAACGCUGGCGGCGUGCUUAACACAUGCAAGUCGAACGGAAAGGCCCUGCUUUUGUGGGGUGCUCGAGUGGCGAACGGGUGAGUAACACGUGAGUAACCUGCCCUUGACUUUGGGAUAACUUCAGGAAACUGGGGCUAAUACCGGAUAGGAGCUCCUGCUGCAUGGUGGGGGUUGGAAAGUUUCGGCGGUUGGGGAUGGACUCGCGGCUUAUCAGCUUGUUGGUGGGGUAGUGGCUUACCAAGGCUUUGACGGGUAGCCGGCCUGAGAGGGUGACCGGCCACAUUGGGGGUGAGAUACGGCCCGGACUGCUACGGGAGGCAGGAGGGGGGAGUGUUGCGCGAUGGGCGGGAGCCUGAUGCAGCAACGCCGGGUGCGGGAUGACGGCCGUCGGGUUGUAAGCCGCUUUCGCCUGUGACGAAGCGUGAGUGACGGUAAUGGGUAAAGAAGCACCGGCUAACUACGUG
rnacentral:rRNA from 1 species